CCUACGGGAGGCAGCAGUGGGGAAUAUUGCACAAUGGGGGAAACCCUGAUGCAGCGACGCCGCGUGAGUGAAGAAGUAUUUCGGUACGUAAAGCUCUAUCAGCAGGGAAGAAAAUGACGGUACCUGACUAAGAAGCCCCGGCUAACUACGUGCCAGCAGCCGCGGUAAUACGUAGGGGGCAAGCGUUAACCGGAUUUACUGGGUGUAAAGGGAGCGUAGACGGCAGCGCAAGUCUGGAGUGAAAUCCCAUGGCUUAACCAUGGAACUGCUUUGGAAACUGUGCAGCUAGAGUGCAGGAGAGGUAAGCGGAAUGCGUAGUGUAGCGGUGAAAUGCGUAGAUAUUAGGAGGAACACCAGUGGCGAAGGCGGCUUACUGGACUGUAACUGACGUUGAGGCUCGAAAGCGUGGGGAGCAAACAGGAUUAGAUACCCCAGUAGUC
rnacentral:rRNA from 1 species